GGAGAGGAGGAGGACUAACAGAGUUUAACUACAUGGAAUGCUGGCUAGUCCCACUUGUACCAUAUGACAGCCACCUUACAUUUCAAAUGAACAGUGGUGCCAGCCAUUUUUAAUGAGGAGGAGGAGGACUAGCAGCAGAUGGAGCAGCAUUGGCAGUAGUGGCUGAAUAUGCUUUUUACCAAUCUAAAAAACAAAAUAGAUUGUCAGUGUUGCUGGGAAUAAAGCAAUGGAUUGACUGAGAGCAAUCUGCCAUGUGGAACUAAUCUGCCAAGAGAAGAACCAAAAUGAGCAUGGAAAAGGAAUGGAAAGAGGGAGCAGAAGAAUUAAGCCAGAUCCAAAGCACUUUCAGUUACAAUGCUGUCAGGAUGUUAACCCAAGAAAACAGUUACUGCAAUUCAUGGUACCCUCUCCCCUGUCAGUUGAGAAGCAGCUUGCUGAUGGCCCCAGUCCCUCCCAAGAGUGAUCUCCAGUGUGACAGGGAGAAGAAACAUGUUUUCUGGAUGAGCACCCUUUCCACAGCCAGCCAGUACCUGGGAAGGAUGGAGGA